GACGAACGCUGGCGGCGUGCUUAACACAUGCAAGUCGAGCGGUAAGGCCCUCGGGUACACGAGCGGCGAACGGGUGAGUAACACGUGGGUGACCUGCCUCUAGCUCUGGGAUAAGCCUGGGAAACUGGGUCUAAUACCGGAUAUGACUCCACGGCGCAUGUUGUGGGGUGGAAAGCCUUGUGUGGCUAGAGAUGGGCCCGCGGCCUAUCAGCUUGUUGGUGGGGUGAUGGCCUACCAAGGCGACGACGGGUAGCCGGCCUGAGAGGGCGACCGGCCACACUGGGACUGAGACACGGCCCAGACUCCUACGGGAGGCAGCAGGUGGGGAAUCUUGCGCAAUGGGCGAAAGCCUGACGCAGCGACGCCGCGUGAGGGAUGACGGCCU
rnacentral:rRNA from 1 species